GGUCUGGUGGUGUAGUCGUUACACGUCCUCACAUAUUGCUCGGGUACUGUAAUUACUUCUGAGGAAGUCCCCGUUCGACUCGGGGUCAGACCA